UACGUAGGGUGCAAGCGUUGUCCGGAAUUAUUGGGCGUAAAGAGCUCGUAGGCGGUUUGUGCGUCUGCUGUGAAAACCCGAGGCUCAACCUCGGGCCUGCAGUGGGUACGGGCAGACUAGAGUGCGGUAGGGGAGAUUGGAAUUCCUGGUGUAGCGGUGGAAUGCGCAGAUAUCGGGAGGAACACCGGUGGCGAAGGCGGUUCUCUGGGCCUUACCUGACGCUGAGGAGCGAAAGCGUGGGGAGCGAACAGG
rnacentral:rRNA from 1 species